UGAGUGGGCUCCGCGAGGAGGAGCCGUGAAUCUGGUCAGGCCUGAAAUAUGGAGCAGCCAUAAGCGGGGUACUUUUGUGCGGAGCCCUCUCGUUG
rnacentral:SRP_RNA from 1 species